rnacentral:misc_RNA from 1 species
UCAGGCGGUGGGAGAGCUCGG